rnacentral:snoRNA from 1 species
GCUUCCUCAGCCUUACUCCAGGGGCUUUUUGUUGCCUGUAAAGUGCCCUGGCAUUGCCUGAGGAUAGAUGAGAAAGCACAUGUCCCUCCCCAGUAAGACGCUGUUUUCUUUUGGGGCCUACAAGUUGAGCUGACAGUA